rnacentral:tRNA from 1 species
UCCAGGGUAGCCUAGUGACAUGACAUCUGCCCGGUAAGCGAACACUGUGGGUUCGUUUCCCAUCCCUGGAC